rnacentral:misc_RNA from 1 species
UCCGGUUUGUCACCGGCAGUUUCAUUAAAGUGCCCAACUAAAUGAUGGCAAUUAAUGACAAGGGUUGCGCUCGUUGCGGGACUUAACCCAACAUCUCACGACACGAGCUGACGACAGCCAUGCAGCACCUGUGUCCAGGUUCCCUUUCGGGCACUCCCUAAUCUCUCAAGGAUUCCUGGCAUGUCAAGGGUAGGUAAGGUUUUUCGCGUUGCAUCGAAUUAAUCCACAUCAUCCACCGCUUGUGCGGGUCCCCGUCAAUUCCUUUGAGUUUUAAUCUUGCGACCGUACUCCCCAGGCGGUCAACUUCACGCGUUAGCUGCGGUACUAAGAAAGUCUCCUUCCCCAACACCUAGUUGACAUCGUUUAGGGCGUGGACUAC